AAUGAAUCUGAAUUGAUUGUUCUGCAGCAAGAUGCCAACUGGUUUGCUAUUCAGUGUCUUUGUUCUUCGACUUUCACUUAUUUUCACAGAACGAAACUUAAAUGAUAUUUAUUUUUUGGAUGGACAAGUUAAUAUUUCAUUAAAAGGACCAGAUAAUCCUGGACAGGGUACUUUUAUCUGGGAAUGGGAACCACACUCUGGGCAAGAGAAACAGCAGCUGAUUACUUUUCAGAAAAAGAUGAGCUGGUGGAAAGCAGAAUGGAAUGAAUACUAGAAAAAUAACAACUUGGAUCAGUGGUUAGAGGAGGAUCCUGAUUCUAUUGGUCUGAGACUUAGAAACCUUGCAUUUAACCUUGCAGGGUUGUACACUCUGCUUCAGACACAGCCGAGUAAAACCAUCCUUAAAAGAUACAACAUUUUCGGGAUCAAAGUUGUAUCAAGUGCCCAGUAUCCUGACCCCAGAGAAGGCAGUGAUGUUACCC